GCGUUAAUCGGAAUUACUGGGCGUAAAGCGUGCGCAGGCGGUUGUGCAAGACAGAUGUGAAAUCCCCGGGCUCAACCUGGGAACUGCAUUUGUGACUGCACGACUAGAGUACGGCAGAGGGGGGUAGAAUUCCACGUGUAGCAGUGAAAUGCGUAGAGAUGUGGAGGAAUACCGAUGGCGAAGGCAGCCCCCUGGGCCGAUACUGACGCUCAUGCACGAAAGCGUG
rnacentral:rRNA from 1 species